GGAGAUAUAACUCAGUUGGCUGAGUGCUUGUCUAGCAGGCAUAAGGUCCUGGGUUCAAUUCCCAACACCACCA
rnacentral:tRNA from 1 species